rnacentral:rRNA from 1 species
UACCCGCGACAGGACGGAAAGACCCCAUGGAGCUUUACUGUAGCUUGAUAUUGAGUGUUUGUACAGCUUGUACAGGAUAGGUAGGAGCCAUAGAAACCGGAACGCUAGUUUCGGUGGAGGCGUUGGUGGGAUACUACCCUCGCUGUAUGACCACUCUAACCCGCACCACUAAUCGUGGUGGGAGACAGUGUCAGGUGGGCAGUUUGACUGGGGCGGUCGCCUCCUAAAAAGUAACGGAGGCGCCCAAAGGUUCCCUCAGAAUGGUUGGAAAUCAUUCGCAGAGUGUAAAGGCACAAGGGAGCUUGACUGCGAGACAGACAGGUCGAGCAGGGACGAAAGUCGGGCUUAGUGAUCCGGUGGUACCGUAUGGAAGGGCCAUCGCUCAACGGAUAAAAGCUACCCUGGGGAUAACAGGCUUAUCUCCCCCAAGAGUCCACAUCGACGGGGAGGUUUGGCACCUCGAUGUCGGCUCAUCGCAUCCUGGGGCUGUAGUCGGUCCCAAGGGUUGGGCUGUUCGCCCAUUAAAGCGGUACGCGAGCUGGGUUCAGAACGUCGUGAGACAGUUCGGUCCCUAUCCGUCGCGGGCGUAGGAAAUUUGAGAGGACCUGUCCUUAGUACGAGAGGACCGGGAUGGACAUACCUCUGGUGUACCAGUUGUGCCGCCAGGCGCAUCGCUGGGUAGCUACGUAUGGAUGUGAUAAACGCUGAAAGCAUCUAAGUGUGAAACACACCUCGAGAUGAGAUUUCCCAUUCCUUUAUGGAAGUAAGACCCCUGAAAGAUGAUCAGGUAGAUAGGUUAGAAGUGGCAGUGCGGUGACGCAUGAAGCGGACUAAUACUAAUCGGUCGAGGACUUAACCAAG